GAUAAGUAAUGUGARUUGCAGAAUUCAGUGAAUCAUCGAAUCUUUGAACGCACCUUGCGCUCCUUGGUAUUCCGAGGAGCAUGCCUGUUUGAGUGUCAUGG
rnacentral:rRNA from 1 species